AACGCAAAUUGCGCUCGAGGCUUCGGCCGAGAGCAUGCCUGCCUCAGCGUCUUUUUCACCCCUCCCCCACUCCAUCGCGUGGCGAUCCAGCGGGGGGAGCUGGUCGUUUCGAGCCCGUCUCGAAUCGGCUGAAUCACAGAAGCGCCACCCGCCUCGCCAAGGGUGACCGAAAGGUGGCAGCCUUCGGGCCGGUCCGAUCGGUGCCCGAGGCGCGGUGUGCGCUGGAGACCGGAGACCCAUGACUCUGACCUGAGUUCAGGCAAGGCUACCCGCUGAACUUAA
rnacentral:misc_RNA from 1 species